rnacentral:ncRNA from 2 species
UUCGGACCAGGCUUCAUUCCCC